rnacentral:rRNA from 1 species
UACGGGGGGGGCAAGCGUUGUCCGGAAUCAUUGGGCGUAAAGAGCGUGUAGGCGGUCCGGUAAGUCCGCUGUGAAAGUCGGGGGCUCAACCCUCGAAUGCCGGUGGAUACUGUCGGGCUAGAGUGCGGAAGAGGCGAGUGGAAUUCCUGGUGUAGCGGUGAAAUGCGCAGAUAUCAGGAGGAACACCUAUUGCGAAGGCAGCUCGCUGGGACGUUACUGACGCUGAGACGCGAAAGCGUGGGGAGCAAACAGG